GUUAUGAUGACCGAGUGGUUAAGGCAUUGGACUGGAAAUUCAGUGGGGUUUCCCUACGUAAGUUCAAGCCCUGCUUGCAAUG